AAUGAAGGCAACACAUCCAUGAUCCAAAGCCUACAAUGAUCCAAAGCCUGCAGAGAUAGCGAGCAGGUGAGCAGAAAGGGCUCUGCUGUGUUUCUCCUCGCAAUUUUGUUUCUUUUCCUUUUUUUUCCAUCAAAGGGAGAAAGAAAAAGUAGUGUGGUUGAGGCUGAGGGGGAAGAAAACCCAGCUAUGUGUCCCACUCUGUAGAACACAGGAAGAUACCUUAAACCAGUGAUGGCCAAACUUGGCCCUCUAGCUGUUUGGGGACUACAAUUCCCAUCAUCCCUGACAACUGAUCCUGUUAGAUAGGGAUGAUGGGAGUUGUAGUCCCAAAACAGCUGGAGGGCCAAGUUUGGCCAUCACUGUGCUUAAACUGAAUCAAAGCAAUGGUCUAAUAGUAUGGUCUACACUGAAUGGCAGCAGCUCUCUGUUGUCACAGGAAGCAGUUUUACUCAGCAGUCCUACCAGAAGAAAUGAAUGAGUGACUCUGUCAAUUCCAGUCUCUUGUUUUUGUUUUUUUUUUAAAUCUGUUCUCUACAUUUUUCCACCAGUUUGUAAUUAAAAGGCGAGGGGGGAGAAAGAGAGACCUCUUGAAAAUUUCAUCAGCACUUGAGUUCGAAUUUCUCCUGAUACACACAUGUACAUAUGCAAUUUCCCCUAAUAAUGCAGAUUUUCAUAAAGUAAUUUCCCCUAAUAUUUUGUAUGUUGUUUCCACACGGCAAAGAAAUUCAACAUGUGAUUGCUGCAGAAAAUCACACCCGCUGAAUUUAUCUGCUUUGAGGGUCAUGACCCAAGACAUGGGGGCGCUCCCACGAGAAAAGACCACAACCCCGCUUCUUUCCAAACAGCCUGGUUUGCAUCGUCACCUGACCCUCCGCAUUGUUGCCGCUCC